rnacentral:lncRNA from 1 species
AGGGAUUUUAUAAGGUGUUGACCUGCUACUAAUUGCAGCAAUGCCUACAUGACAGCUAACAAAAUAGCUCCUCGCCCAUUUGAUUCUGAUUACCUAGCUGCCAUCACAGCUUCUUCCCUCCAACUGAAUGAACCUGUUUGUCGUCCAGCUUCUUUAUGUUCGAUCCUCCCAAGCAAUCAUCUCUAGCUUGAAAUGCCCUUUUGUCUCUGCUUCACACAAUCAUGACACUUGUUUUCCUACCAAACACAGUUGAAACCACUCUCCCCUAAUCCCACCUGAACUAACCCCGACUAGUUCUGGCAUGCAUGCAACCCAUAGACUCAACACUUACUUAGCACUAACAAAGAUUUCUUUUAGGAAAAAGUAAAUUCUACAUAUCCCUAACCUGUAACUUUGGCCAAGUUAUUUCUUCUAAAUGGGCCCCAGUUUACUCAUCUGUAGAAGGAGGAUAAUAAUAAUUCCAAUCUCUCAGAGUUGUGAGAACUAAACAUUUAUUUUUAUGCUGUGUGUAUGUAUGAAGACACACCCAUUUAGUCCAUGUAAAGUGGUUAUGAGCCUGGUACUGGGUACACCGUAAGUAUUCAGAAAAUGUCUAUUGCUUUGAUUCACAUUGCUAUUAAUAUUACUCUGUGACUUGUGUUACCAUUGCAUUGGUCUGCAUCACUUGAUGACUAAAUUCUGGGGAUCAGGAGCUAUUCUUAUACAUUGCCCAGAAACUUGAGGAUGUGAGGAUGUUCAGUGGGAACCAAACAACAAAGUUACAACCUGGCAAGGACUCGAGUACUUCUGCCUUAGCCCACUCUGCUAAUUACAAAAGCUCAUUCAGAUGUGUGAGUUCAGGCAAAAAGAAAUAAUUGUAUUUGAUUCUUGAAGUGGGACAGCAAUAAGAUAAAUAAAUACGUCUAAAUUUGCAGAGAGAAAAUUUCUUUUUUUUAGAGAGAAAAUUUCAACAGGGCUUUAGAAUGAGAAGGGCAACCUACUGUGGUUCAUGAGCACAUCCAGAAGCUUCCUGAAGGUAUGACUGAAGCAGAGGUGAGAAUGUGUGAGCUGAUGAGGACAAGAAGCAGCAUAGCCCUGAGCACAGAUACAAAGCCUCCUAUGCCAGGGGAAGGGCAAGGAGCACAGGCCAUGCAGGGGAAAUAUGGUUUUCUGAAGGGUGUAUAGUGCAGGUGCAUAUUAGUUGCCCCAGAGCUCAGCCAGCAUGUAGUUCCCCCAGUAAAAGUCACUUGCCCAUGGAGAGAGAUGCACACCUGAAUUUACACCAGGGGUAUUUCCACCAUGUGUGCUAGACCACCAUUUACAUACCUGCCCCCCUUCCACAUGCUCUGCUUCUAUUCUUACCCUUCUCAUUUCCCAUGUAAAUCUGUUGUCUUUUAAUCCUCAGAUACAGAAUGUCACAGUGGACAGAACCUCCAAGGAUUAUCCGGGCUCCUGUCCUCCUCUUACAGAGGAGGAAACUGUUCCAGAAAGGUUCACAACUUUCCAAAGGUCACAAAAUUUGUGGUAUAGCAAAAACCGAAACCUAGAUGGUGUGGCCACCCCCCUCUCCCCAAAGCAGUCGAGUUUCUAAUUCUACAUCAUCCAAUCUGCUUGCUUUUCCCCCCUUCCUGGCCCUCCACUGUGCCUAAGUCAUCAAGGUAAGUUUUAUUGGCAAGCAGGCCACUGGAACAGGCCUACAUUUUCAGGUAGGACAAAGUAUAUUUGGCGAUUUUGUACUUCAUGGUCAUUCUGCUCUGCAUCAUGCAUAUGGACCUUCUGCCUAUGCCAUCUUUCAUUCCCCCCUAAUGGUCUUUGACAUCAGUCCACCCUUAAGAUAUCUGACUAAUAAAAAAUUUCAAUGGUUAAUAAAUAUCAUUAAUUUAUAAGCUUUUGGGGAUCCCUGGGUGGCUCAGUGGUUUAUAGACUAGAAUUCAACAGCUGUUUCUCAAACCAGAGUCACCUGUAACAAGUGACUCCUUAGCAGGGAAAAUUAUUUAUCUUCAGAUAACCAUGUCAAGCUAGGAAAAAAUGUUUCAAAAAUAGCCAUUAAAUUAAUUUUUCUUUAAGUGGCAUGGGGAGAAGAUAAGAAGCUAUAUAUAGUUCAACUGUACUAAACUCCUAAGAAACUCUGAUACACUGUACACUGCCCCAGGCAAAUGGCAAGUGGGGGAAGGGAGAUUCCCAGGAAUAUGUGAUUCAUAACUGUUAGUCAUCGCUUUGGGAAAUUUUAGGACAUAAUCACUAUCAGUUAAACAUUAUUAUUUGCUAAAUGUCCAAGAUACAAAUUUCCUUGGAGACAACUGGUGACAAUAUUAAAGGUUCUGCACAGCCCCUUAAUUUUCCUAUUUUGUGGGCUGGCAGAUUUUUGGGAAUUUCACAACUGAGUAUGAAGUAAAUUUAUUUAAUUACCAUAUGCAUAGGCAUGGUUUAUGCACACUCUUAAUCAGACUGGUAGAUCCAGUAUGUGGGGUCUGAAGCUUAUAAAAAGUUAGUAAAGGAAUAAAAGAGAGUAUUGGUGGGUGGGUCUUUCAGAAAGAGUUCACAAAAUUAGCAACCUAGAAUUUGAUACCAGGUCUACGGAGGGGACUGUGGAAGUGAGGGGCUGCAAAUCUGAAGCAUCACCAGCUCCAAAACAAGAGUGCCUGGUUCAUGACACAUUCAGAUUGUACACAAGCAACACAAAGGUGGGGACAACUGCCAAUGGCCAAGAUCUAUGUAUUUCCUUACAGUCUUCUUCAACACUAAACUGCAAAUACUCCCAUGCACAUUUUUGCCCAGCUCAACCAGGUAAACGGAAAUAUUUACACUUGAUGUUUUAAAUGAGCUAUUGAACUACUGCAUGAAUCCCAAUAUGUGGCUUUACUACUUUGUCAAGAAAUACUCUUGUCCAGAGUAAUUUAUUUGGCCGCAAUGCAUAAUCUGUGGAGACCCACUAAGGGUUCCUAAGAGAGUGUGUCAGAUUAGCCAUCACAGUACAGCUAAACUCGGCAAUUAUCCUUGGGUGUGGACAAGAUGGGGAAGGGCAGUGCUGAGUGGUCUAACACAGUAGAGUGCCCCUGAGAUGAAUGAGCUUGAGUCUAGGCUCAGUCAGAGGUGGGGAGAGGCCCUCUUACAAUGUGAGUUUCUGCCUCACACCAGGUAUCCCAUGCAGGGAGAGCACCUCAGUACAUCUUCGUGAUGGCAAGACAAAAUGAGAAGUGAGAAAAAUCUCUGAGUGCCUCAACAUUAAAUCAAUCCAUGGAGCCUUUCACCAGAAGAAAAAGAUGUAUCGUGACAGAAGAUUCUAAAAUCAUAGGCGUCUGGGAUUUGAGGCAAAUCUCUACCUUAGCACAGCAGAAAGUCAUUACUGUUCCAUUAACUUUCAGGAAGUAGAUUAGACCUUUCUGGGCUUUCUUUCUUAAGGCUCUCGGAGCUCCAGGGUGCCAGUGAAGUGCAGCUUAGACCAGCAGUGGCAAUUCCUAGAAUAGAAAUCUGAAAAUAACACAUUCACUCUGACACGCCAACCCACUACUUUUAAUUGUGGCUCAUUAAAGAUGUAAAUAGAAGAAGACUUAUGUUCACCUCUACUACAAUUUCACUGCUGCAGUAAAAUCACAAUGCUUCUGUUUCUAUGCAGAAAGGAAUACUUCUGCUUUGCGGAACAUCACCGCAAGCAGAGGGCUGUGAUUCACCAGUUUUCCAAGGGCAGUCAUCACAUGUUUCUGCCUGCUGUUGGACAGAGGCAAGUAUACGGGAUGAUUAAUUUAAAAAUCAACGAAAAGAAGAAUAAAAGGCAAGUCAGCCCAAAGAUGGUAUCUAACAAAUGCCAAAUUCUCCCCAGGAGGCAUUACGGAAAUGCAAAACUGCCUAUAGGAAUUCUGCAGAGGAUUCGGGCUGAAAAGGGGCGAAACCCAAGCAAGGGAAGAUCAACCUCAAAGAUGAAUGUGAAAAAAAAAAAAAAGGAUGAAUGUGAAAUCACCUAUUAGGCAUUUGAAUUUUGCCUUACAAAUAUUUUUUCCUUCAGUGUACUAAUGAAAAUAUUUUUUCUAUGUCUUCUGUUUACUCAUAUUCCUUUGUUCAAUUGCCGUAUAAUUAACAUACAAUGUUAUAUUAGUUUCAGGUGUGCAACAUAUUGAUUCAACAGUUCUGUACAUCAGUGCUGGCAAGGUAAGAGUAGUCACCAUCUGUCACGAUGCAACAUUAUUACCAUAUUAUUGGCUAUAUUCCCUGGGCUGUACUUUUCAAUCUCUGUGACUUACUUAUUUUAUAACUGAAAUUUUGCUGCUUACUCAUAUUCUUACAGGACCUUCUUUCCUGAAGUUAGAAUGAGAAUUAUAUCUUAUUGAUAAUUACUAAUACAAUGAAGUAUUAAAACUGAAUACAUGAGAAAAGUUCAUUUAGAAAUCCUGUGUUAAAAAUAAAUUAAGGACCAGAUGUAAAAAGACACAUACUGUAUAAUUCCAAGUAUCUGUGGUAGCUAAAAUAGGCAAAUUCAUCACUGAAGAAAGUAGAGUAGAAGUUACUAGGAACUGCGGAGAGAAAGGAAUGGGGAGUAAGUGUUUAAUAGGUACAAGUUUCUGUUUGCAAUGAUGAAAAUCUCUGAUGAUUGCACAAAAUCGUGAGUGUACUUAAAGCCACUGAAUUGUACUCCUAUAAAUGGUUAGAGCAGCAAGUUUUAUGUUAUAUGUUAUAUGUAUUUACCGCAAUUAAAAAUAUAUAUAUUGGGAUGCCUGGGUGGUUUAGUGGUUGAGCAUCUGCCUUUGGCUCAGGUCAUGAUCACGGGGUCCUGGAAUCAAGUCCUACAUUGGGCUCCUGCAGGAAGCCUGAUUCACCCUCUGCUUAUGUCUCUACCUCUCUCUCUUUCUAUGCCUCUCAUGAAUGAAUAAAAUCAUAUAUAUUUAAAUAUUAAAUAUUAAAUAUAUUAAAUAUAUUUAAAUAUUAAAUAUUUAAUCAUAUAUAUUUAAAAAUCAAAUCAAAAUCAAAUCAAAUUAAUUAAUCAAAUUAAAUUAAUAUAUUAAAUAUAUAUUUAAAUAUUAAAUAUUUAAUCAUAUAUAUAUUUAAAAAUCAAAGUGGGGUGCUGGAUUGAUGGCUAUGUCCCCAAGACAGAGUACUGUUAGCUCGCUGACUCUCCCACGUGGCUGAUGGCAGUGCCAGGCAAAGGAAGGGGUGAGACCAAUGUGGAUACCCACUAGGAAAAGAGAGAAAACCAUAUCCAUUCGUGCAAAGUGGGUACAGCUGCAGGUGAGAUAAGCCUCUGCUAAUCAGCCCCAGCAUGGUUGUCAAGAAUUUACAAGUACUGAUUUAAAUGCAUUAAGUAGAUCUGAUACUCUGGAGAAUCUUACUGAGGAUCAAUUUCAUAGAGCAGAAAACUACUCCACAACUUGUCAGGUUAAUACAGAGUUAGGUUGAAUUUACAUAAUGUGUGCCUGUAAGUCCACGGGCUAUGACCUUUGAUAGCUGGUCCUGAACUUCCCCUUUCACUACAUGUCACUGCAAAUUCUAGGCAGCGUUUGGAAACACAUGCUGCUCUGCCUAUUGCUGAGUGGUUUUUAGUGUAAUAAAUUUGGUGUCAGUCAGAUGGAUGAAGCAAAGUGCUUCCCUUAAAUAUCUAGGGUUCUUGCAAUGUACUCACCCCCAAACUCUGUUUUACUGUGAAGAGCAAGUUCACUCUGCAUGGUACCCAACAAAGGACGCCAGGCUCUUCCAAGUGGCUAAUUUGAUGGGCUCCUAGAAAUGGCCACCUGCCAGCAGCGUCAUUUAGAAGGAUGCUGGUCCUGAGGACAGUUGAAGAUAAUUUCUUUCCCAUCAGCCUCUACAAAGUAGAUUAGGUCCUUGUGGGGCUUUACUUUCUCUGAAAGCAACAGAGUGCUAGCAAAGUGGCCUUAAAGCAUUGAAAAAAAUAACCCUAGUGCAUAUUGGAAAUCAGAAGUGGUUCAGCAGAGGUAGGAGUGAAGACGGAGUACAGGCAAGGGGUCAGGGAGUCUAGGGUUCAAAUCCUAGCUUUCUUUCUACAAGCCCUGUGACAGUCUUCAGCACCAAUAACCUCAUCCACUAUAAUAACAUAUAAUUUAAAUGUAAAAGUCAGACUCAUUAUUUGUAAAAGUUUUUGUGAGGAUCAGAUGAGAUGAAACAUGUAUAAGCACAAAGGAAUUAGUUUAUUAACCAUACUCAGAUCAAUUAGUUUCCUCUUUAAAAGAGAAAAUGUCGAAAAAGGGCCUCCUAAGUUUUGUUGAAGAAGCUUUUAAAAUAUACCCCAGUAUUUAUGGAGUAUCCACCAUGCUGAAGAUCCAGUGCUACUCCUUGAGGGGACAUAGGGCGGUAGGAGACCUGCCUUUAAUUUGAGGGAACUUAGAGUCUAAUAGAGCAGAUGAGUACAUCAGUGCUAAGUCUGAUCAUGAACUUCUUCCAUUCCACAAUCUUCAAUGGCUCUCUGCCACUUGAGAUAAAAUUCCAACCCCUAGGAUAGGAUUAAACCAAUUGUUUUCACCAGUCAAAUGGGCUAACUAACUACGUUGUAAGAUGCUGUAAGACACCACUCACAGAAGCUGGUGUAAGGUAGUCAAUUAAUAGUUCACACUAAUUAUUAUAUUACCAUCAUUAUUAAAGGAAUCUCGUUCCUCCCAAUCCCUCACUGUUCUAACUUCAUACACCUCUCACUGGACCCAAGCCAGUCCACGAUGUGCCUCAAACACACACCGCCCUCUUUCUUCUCACCUUCAUUCCCUUAGCCUCCUGCCAUUUGGGAUCUGGGCCAUACUUCAACAUCUAGCUCAAAACGCCCCCUCCUUAUCCUCACCACUUCAUAACUAGACCAACUAUCUCACUCCUUUGUGUUCCCACCGCAUUUUCUCACCCUCCCUGACUGGGCUCACUCCCAUAUUCACCUUCCCCUCACAGAGGAAAAACUCAUAAAUUCAGUUUGAAGGAAGGUACCCACGAAUAAAGGUUGGAAAAUUUUUAGUACAAGCUGUGUAGCUGUCUAACUGAAUAUCACAAAAGUAACGUAACCGUAACAGCUAAUUUUUUUUUUUAAAAAAAAAGCUUUAUGGGCAUGAACUCAUGUAGGUUUUACAGCUUUGAUAGAUGCUGCUUUAAUUUUCCUACUUCAUGGGUGGAUAAACUGAGACCCAAAGAGGUUAAAUAAAUUUGCUCAGCGUUACAC